UUAUAUUAUUAGUAGUAGAAUAUGUAUAUUACAUAUGUUAUUAUAAUUGUUAUAUAUUAUUCUGUCUUUUAUCUCCAUUUCACCUCUACUCUUGCUUGUUUCCUUCUAAUGAACCUGGAACUGCAGACUCAGUAUUGUUGUCUCGGUGUCAUAUUGCUUGUUUUGUUCCUGGACUCUUCAGUGAUGAUGAGCAGAGUCUGAGUGAACCUGCUGUCAGACAGGUUGGCCUGAUUGACGAUGCCAUCAUCCAUCGCCGAUGGCUGAUAGACAUCACGAUGCUGCGCUGGCAAACAGCGUCAUCAGCUCCAGUAUCUCGCCCGUGCAUCUGUUGUCAUGCGACAGAGAAGUCACGUUCUAUAGACAGUUGUGAGGGUGCUGACAGCUGGUUGCCCAGGCUAUGGAUUAAAGGUAAUACUGUUGGCCAGCAGAGCCCUGCU